AUUGAACGCUGGCGGCAGGCCUAACACAUGCAAGUCGAGCGAGCGGCGGACGGGUGAGUAAUGUAUGGGGAUCUGCCCGAUAGAGGGGGAUAACUACUGGAAACGGUGGCUAAUACCGCAUACCAUCGGAUGUGCCCAGAUGGGAUUAGCUAGUAGGUGGGGUAACGGCUCACCUAGGCGACGAUCCCUAGCUGGUCUGAGAGGAUGACCAGCAACACUGGAACUGAGACACGUUCCAGACUCCUACGGGAGGCAGCAGUGGGGAAUAUUGCACAAUGGGCGAAAGCCUGAUGCAGCCAUGCCGAGUGUAGGAAGAAGGCCUUCGGGUUGUAAAGUACUUUCAGCGAGGAGGCGUUACUCGCAGAAGAAGCACCGGCUAACUCCGUGCCAGCAGCCGCGGUAAUUC
rnacentral:rRNA from 1 species